GAUGAAGAACGUAGCGAAAUGCGAUAAGUAAUGUGAAUUGCAGAAUUCAGUGAAUCAUCGAAUCUUUGAACGCACAUUGCGCCCGCCAGUAUUCUGGCGGGCAUGCCUGUUCGAGCGUCAUUUCCACCUUCAGGCCCCCGGGCCUGUGUUGGGGACCUGCGGCUGCCCGCAGGCCCCGAAAUUCAGUGGCGGUCGCGCCGUAGCAACCGAGCGUAGUAACUAAAACGUCUCGCUCUGGCUCGCUGGGCGCGCUCCGGCCGUAAGACACCCCCCCUUUUCGCAAAGGUUGACCUCGGAUCAGGUAGGAAUACCCGCUGAACUUAAGCAUAUCAAUAAGCGGAGGA
rnacentral:misc_RNA from 1 species